AUUGAACGCUGGCGGCAGGCCUAACACAUGCAAGUCGAACGAGUGGCGGACGGGUGAGUAAUGUCUGGGUAACUGCCCGAUGGAGGGGGAUAACUACUGGAAACGGUAUCUUAUCCCGCAUACCAUCAGAUGUGCCCAGAUGGGAUUAGCUAGUAGGUGGGGUAACGGCUCACCUAGGCGACGAUCCCUAGCUGGUCUGAGAGGAUGACCAGCCACACUGGAACUGAGACACGGUCCAGACUCCUACGGGAGGCAGCAGUGGGGAAUAUUGCACAAUGGGCGCAAGCCUGAUGCAGCCAUGCCGCGUGUAUGAAGAAGGCCUUCGGGUUGUAAAGUACUUUCAGUCGGGAGGCGUUACCGACAGAAGAAGCACCGGCUAACUCCGUGCCAGCAGCCGCGGUAAUAC
rnacentral:rRNA from 1 species